UGAAAACGACUGCUAAGACUGGAUAGGAGACAAGAAGGCAUCUUCUUGUUUUUAAAAGACCUAGCAAUAGGUAUGCUUAGGGAGGAGCUUGCGUCACAUUAGUUAGUUGGUGGGGUAAAGGCCUACCAAGACUAUGAUGUGUAGCCGGGCUGAGAGGUUGAACGGCCACAUUGGGACUGAGACACGGCCCAAACUCCUACGGGAGGCAGCAGUAGGGAAUUUUCGGCAAUGGAGGAAACUCUGACCGAGCAACGCCGCGUGAACGAUGAAGUAUUUCGGUACGUAAAGUUCUUUUAUUAGGGAAGAAUAAAUGAUGGAAAAAUCAUUCUGACGAUACCUAAUGAAUAAGCCCCGGCUAACUAUGUGCCAGCAGCCGCGGUAAUACAUAGGGGGCAAGCGUUAUCCGGAAUUAUUGGGCGUAAAGGGUGCGUAGGCGGUUAAAUAAGUUUAUGGUCUAAGUGCAAUGCUCAACAUUGUGAUGCUAUAAAAACUGUUUAGCUAGAGUAAGAUAGAGGCAAGUGGAAUUCCAUGUGUAGUGGUAAAAUGCGUAAAUAUAUGGAGGAACACCAGUAGCGAAGGCGGCUUGCUGGGUCUUUACUGACGCUGAGGCACGAAAGCGUGGGGAGCAAACAGGAUUAGAUACCCUGGUAGUCCACGCCGUAAACGAUGAGUACUAAACGUUGGGUAAAACCAGUGUUGAAGUUAACACAUUAAGUACUCCGCCUGAGUAGUACGUACGCAAGUAUGAAACUUAAAGGAAUUGACGGGACUCCGCACAAGCGGUGGAUCAUGUUGUUUAAUUCGAAGGUACCCGAAAAACCUCACCAGGUCUUGACAUGCUUCUGCAAAGCUGUAGAAACACAGUGGAGGUUAUCAGUUGCACAGGUGGUGCAUGGUUGUCGUCAGCUCGUGUCGUGAGAUGUUGGGUUAAGUCCCGCAACGAGCGCAACCCUUAUUGUUAGUUACCAGCACGUAAUGGUGGGGACUUUAGCAAGACUGCCAGUGAUAAAUUGGAGGAAGGUGGGGACGACGUCAAAUCAUCAUGCCCCUUAUGACCUGGGCUACAAACGUGAUACAAUGGCUGUUACAAAGGGUAGCUGAAGCGCAAGUUUUUGGCGAAUCUCAAAAAAACAGUCUCAGUUCGGAUUGAAGUCUGCAACUCGACUUCAUGAAGUUGGAAUCGCUAGUAAUCGCGAAUCAGCAUGUCGCGGUGAAUACGUUCUCGGGGUUUGUACACACCGCGCGUC
rnacentral:rRNA from 1 species